rnacentral:rRNA from 1 species
GAUGAACGCUAGCUACAGGCUUAACACAUGCAAGUCGCGGGGCAGCAUGGGGGUUGCUUGCAAUCCCCGAUGGCGACCGGCGCACGGGUGAGUAACGCGUAUCCAACCUGCCCUUCACCACGGGAUAACCCGGCGAAAGUCGGACUAAUACCGUAUGUUGCCCAUUGACUGCAUCCGAUUUGGACGAAAGGCUUGGCGCUGAGGGAUGGGGAUGCGUCCGAUUAGCCAGACGGCGGGGUAACGGCCCACCGUGGCUAUCAUCGGUAGGGGUUCUGAGAGGAACGUCCCCCAGACUGGAACUGAGACACGAGCCAGACUCCUACGGGAGGCAGCAGUGAGGAAUAUAGGUCAAUGGGCGUAAGCCUGAACCAGCCAAGUAGCGUGCAGGAUGACGGCCCUAUGGGUUGUAAACUGCUUUUAUGCGGGGAUAAAGUGGCCCACGUGUGGGCUUUUGCAGGUACCGCAUGAAUAAGGACCGGCUAAUUCCGUG